rnacentral:rRNA from 2 species
AGAGUUUGAUCCUGGCUCAGGACGAACGCUGGCGGCGUGCCUAACACAUGCAAGUCGAGCGAAGUGACUCGGAGAGAAGUUUUCGGAUGGAUCGAAGAGUCAUCUUAGCGGCGGACGGGUGAGUAACGCGUGAGAAACCUGCCUUUCACAAAGGGAUAGCCUCGGGAAACUGGGAUUAAUACCUUAUGAAACUGAAUUACCGCAUGGUAGAUCAGUCAAAGCGAAUAAGCGGUGAAAGAUGGUCUCGCGUCCUAUUAGCUAGUUGGUGAGGUAACGGCUCACCAAGGCUUCGAUAGGUAGCCGGCCUGAGAGGGUGAACGGCCACACUGGAACUGAGACACGGUCCAGACUCCUACGGGAGGCAGCAGUGGGGAAUAUUGCACAAUGGAGGAAACUCUGAUGCAGCGACGCCGCGUGAAUGAUGAAGGCCUUCGGGUUGUAAAGUUCUGUCCUUGGGGAAGAUAAUGACGGUACCCAAGGAGGAAGCCCCGGCUAACUACGUGCCAGCAGCCGCGGUAAUACGUAGGGGGCGAGCGUUGUCCGGAAUUAUUGGGCGUAAAGGGUUUGCAGGCGGUCUGAUAAGUCAGAUGUGAAAGGCGUAGGCUCAACCUACGUAAGCAUUUGAAACUGUCAGACUUGAGUUAAGGAGAGGAAAGUGGAAUUCCUAGUGUAGCGGUGAAAUGCGUAGAUAUUAGGAGGAAUACCAGUGGCGAAGGCGACUUUCUGGACUUAUACUGACGCUGAGGAACGAAAGCGUGGGGAGCAAACAGGAUUAGAUACCCUGGUAAUCCACGCCGUAAACGAUGAGUGCUAGGUGUUGGGGGUCAAACCUCGGUGCCGCAGCUAACGCAUUAAGCACUCCGCCUGGGGAGUACGUACGCAAGUAUGAAACUCAAAGGAAUUGACGG